rnacentral:rRNA from 1 species
AGAGUUUGAUCCUGGCUCAGGACGAACGCUGGCGGCGUGCUUAACACAUGCAAGUCGAACGGAAAGCGCUCUUCGGAGUGACUCGAGUGGCGAACGGGUGAGUAACACGUGGGUGAUCUGCCCUGCACUUUGGGAUAAGCCUGGGAAACUGGGUCUAAUACCGAAUACACCCUGCUGGUCGCAUGGCCUGGUGGGGGAAAGCUUUUGCGGUGUGGGAUGGGCCCGCGGCCUAUCAGCUUGUUGGUGGGGUGAUGGCCUACCAAGGCGACGACGGGUAGCCGGCCUGAGAGGGUAUCCGGCCACACUGGGACUGAGAUACGGCCCAGACUCCUACGGGAGGCAGCAGUGGGGAAUAUUGCACAAUGGGCGCAAGCCUGAUGCAGCGACGCCGCGUGAGGGAUGACGGCCUUCGGGUUGUAAACCUCUUUCAAUAGGGACGAAGCGUAAGUGACGGUACCUAUAGAAGAAGCACCGGCCAACUACGUGCCAGCAGCCGCGGUAAUACGUAGGGUGCGAGCGUUGUCCGGAAUUACUGGGCGUAAAGAGCUCGUAGGUGGUUUGUCGCGUUGUUCGUGAAAACUCACAGCUUAACUGUGGGUCUGCGGUGGAUACGGGCAGGCUAGAGGCAGGUAGGGGAGCAUGGAAUUCCCGGUGUAGCGGUGAAAUGCGCAGAUAUCGGGAGGAACACCGGUGGCGAAGGCGGUGCUCUGGGCCUGUACUGACGCUGAGGAGCGAAAGCGUGGGGAGCGAACAGGAUUAGAUACCCCCGUAGUCC